rnacentral:rRNA from 1 species
GGUCUAACCAAAAACAUUGCUUGCGGCGGUAACGUCCACCACGUAUAUCUCAAACUUGACCUCAAAUUCA